GGGGAAUUUUCCGCAAUGGGCGAAAGCCUGACGGAGCAAUACCGCGUGAGGGAAGACGGCCUAUGGGUUGUAAACCUCUUUUUUCAGGGAGGAAUCAAUGACGUGUACCUGAAGAAUAAGCAUCGGCUAACUCCGUGCCAGCAGCCGCGGUAAGACGGAGGAUGCAAGUGUUAUCCGGAAUCACUGGGCGUAAAGCGUCUGUAGGUGGUUGAACAAGUCAACUGUUAAAUCUUGAGGCUUAACUUCAAAAUCGCAGUCGAAACUGUUUGACUAGAGUAUAGUAGGGGUAAAGGGAAUUUCCAGUGGAGUGGUGAAAUGCGUAGAUAUUGGAAAGAACACCGAUGGCGAAGGCACUUUACUGGGCUAUUACUGACACUCAGAGACGAAAGCUAGGGUAGCAAAUGGGAUUAGAUACCCCUGUAGUC
rnacentral:rRNA from 1 species